rnacentral:rRNA from 1 species
CCCAGCUGUUGGGUUAAAUUUUUAAAUUAAAAUUUUAACCCAAAAGUUAGCCUGGUCAGUACCUGGAUGGGAGACCUCCUGGGAAAACUAGGUUGCUGCUGGAA